CCUACGGGUGGCAGCAGUGGGGACUAUUGCACAAUGGGGGAAACCCUGAUGCAGCGACGCCGCGUGAGUGAUGAAGUAUUUCGGUAUGUAAAGCUCUAUCAGCAGGGAAGAAACUCACGGUACCUGAUUAAUAAGCCCCGGCUAACGACGUGCCAGCAGCCGAGGUCAUCCGUAGGGGGCAAGCGUUAUCCGGAUUUACUGGGGGUAAAGGGGGCGUAGGCGGCAGCACCAGUCUGGAGUGAAAUGCCGGGGCUUAACCCCGGAACUGCUUUGGAAACUGGGCAGCUAGAGUGCAGGAGAGGCAAGUGGAAUUCCUAGUGUAGCGGCGAAAUGCGUAGAUAUUAGGAGGAACACCAGUGGCGAAGGCGGCUUGCUGGACUGUAACUGACACUGAGGCUCGAAAGCGUGGGGAGCAAACAGGAUGAGAUACCCGUGUAGUC
rnacentral:rRNA from 1 species